CUAAAUCUUAGAUUUAUUUUUAAAGGUAUUAUUAAAUUUAUUUUCUUGAGUGUAUGAGAGGAUUACAGAAUUUUAAGUGUAAUGGUUAAAUAUGUUGAGAUUUGAAGGAAUUUCUAAAGCGAAAGCAGUAAUCUAGAUUAUAACUGACGCUGAGGUAUGAAAGCAUGGGGAGUAAAGAGGAUUAGAUACCCUUGUAAUCCAUGCCCUCAACAAUGGGUGUUUAUUUUUGAAAUUUAGCAAAAAUAAAGUUAACACGUUAAGCACUUCGCCAGGGAACUACGGCCGCAAGGUUAAAACUCAAAGGAAUUGACGGGGAUCUACACACGCAGUGAAGCAUGUGGUUUAAAUUGACAAUACGCGUGAAACCUUACCAGUUUUUGUAUAAUAUUAUUAAAUAUAACAGGUGUUGCAUGGCUGUCGUCAGUCCGUGCUGUGAAGCGUUUGAUUAAUUUCAAUAAACGGACGAAACUCUUUUAUAUUUUUUGGAGAAUAUAAAUUAUCAAGAAUAUCUUGAGGGAAGAAUGAAUGAUGUCAAGUCCUCAUGACCCUAAUAAAUUGGGCUACUUUCAUGUGCUACAAUGAUUCUUUCAAAAAGAAGUAAAAAUGUGAGUUUAAAUAAGUCUGAAACAAGAGUCAAAUUUGAAUUAUUUUCUGCAACUUGAAAAUAUGAAAUUGGAAUUGCUAGUAAUCGUAAAUAAGAAUGUUACGGUGAAUUUGUUCUUAGAUCUUGUACACACCGCCCGUCACGCUAUGGAAAAUUUAUUUGUUUGAAAAUAAAUUUAUAUUUAUAACAAAUAAAAAACUGAAGUGAAGUCGUAACAAGGUAGCCGUAGGGGAACCUGCGGCUGG
rnacentral:rRNA from 1 species